rnacentral:rRNA from 1 species
AGUGAACGCUGGCGGUAGGCCUAACACAUGCAAGUCGAACGGCAGCACAGUAACAGCUUGCUCUUACGGGUUGCGAGUGGCGUGCGGGUGAGGAAUACAUCCGAAUCUACUUUUUCGUGGUGGCUUACGUAGCUACACUUACGCUCAUACCGCAUCCUACCUACGGGUGACCGCAGGAGAUCUUCUCACCUUGCGCUAUUGCAUGAGCCGAUGUCGUAUUAGCUAGUUGGCGGGGUAACGGCCCACCCAGGCGAUGAUCCGUCGCUGGUCUGAGAGGAUGAUCAGCCACACUGGAACGGGGACGCGGUCCAGGCUCCUACGAGAGGCAGCAGUGGGGAAUAUUGGACAAUGGGCGCAAGCCUGAUCCAGCCAUACCGCGUGGGUGAAGAAGGCCUUCGGGUUGUAAAGCCCUUUUGUUGGGAAAGAAAAGCAGCAGGUUGAUACCCCGCUGUUCUGACGGUACCUAAAGAAUAAGCACCGGCUAACUUCGUG